GUAAAUCUUGGGUACUUAUACAGGAUCAAGGAACCGAAACAAUACCUUCCAGCUAGCCAUUUUGGGUGAGGUGCUGGGUUGUUACAAUUUGUUCCGCAAAAGUAGCAACAUGGGUCUUAAAUUUUUCCAUUGCAAGGCCACUUAGAAACGGUUACCGUGAUUUUUCCUUCCCUUGUAUGACCUGAACAGGGAAAAUUUGCUUGAGUACAUUGACCUGAACAAAAAUUCUUUUUGGCAUUCGAUGUAUGGUGAAAUUGUUUACAGGAUACAAGGUGUCCUAAUAUGGUUUAUGGUCCUAAGCAAAAGCUCUCUGUCUAACAAAAUUAUGAUACAACUUGUGAGGUUAAACCAUCUCAGCUCUGAAUGGCAAGCCAGAAUGGUCAGUAAAUGAUCUAGAAUUUAGAUGAGAAGUGGGAAAGCAGCUUAUUAACAGCUUCUGAAAGAAAUUUACACUUUUGUACUGGCCAGGAAUUGCAUGAACCAUCCAAAUAAAUUUUGCAUAUUCUAGAUAGCAGAAUUCAGUGCUUGAUUGCUUGCAAAUGCAGACUUGCUACUUUUAGAUAAAAACUGAUUUGUCAUGGUGAAGAGCAUAUUGAUGAAUAAUCUUCUAUGACUGCUGUUCUUCAAUUUAUAUCUAUGCCUUCGCUCCUGGUUCUUCAGUAUAAUGGCAUCGUGUUAUGGUUCCUUAAUUACUUCUCUCAUUUGUGCAUGACUUUGUAUUUUUUUACUUUGCCUCAAUUGUCAAGUAUGGUUAUUUUUUGCUGCAACUUUAUGCAUGAUUGUGUUCUAAUCAAGUAUACUCCACCAUAACUCUCCAAUCUCACCUACUGUCAUUCCAGUGUGUAUUCUAUACAACUGGGCCCCUUAUAAUCUCUGAAUUGCAGGAUCUAAAUUUUUAGAGGUAUCUUUUUGUUCAAAAGGAUGAUCAUGUUUUUUUGUUAUUCAUUUCUUUUUCCAUUAGAUGGUAGAUUAUAUGAAUAUUAUCAUGCAUGAAACUGAGAAUGACGAUGUGGUUGAGGUUUUGCUGUAUGGAAAAAAGAGAACGAAGAAUUGUUCUUCUCACUAAUGGAAGAUAUUAGAUCUUAAAGGGAAAAGACCAACAACAUUUUUUUCGAAAUCUGCAUAUUUGAGAAACUUUGAAUGCACAAAGUAAAAAAAAACUAUACGGAUGUACAACUUAGAAACAAGUUCAACUAAUUGAGGACUUGGAAAUGAGAUUUCGCUAAGUUGAUAAAAGAGACGGGAAUUGGUUACCACUCAUUAACAGGGGAGGUGAUUGCAACUGAAGAAGUUUGGCGAAGGUUAUACAAGAUAAAUUGAAAACUAGUCAACAAAUCUGCAAGAAAAUUUCGAAAGAAGGAUGCCCUAUGUUCGAAAAAUUGAGCAUGAUAUUUGGGACACUACAGCUUGUGGGCACUUGUUGCAUCCUUCAACUAACAGUCCUUCAGACAUUGAAAAUUGGAAGAAGUAGGAGAGCACGAAUUAGAGGUUCAGUUUGUUGAUCAUGAUCCUCCAGUCAGAGGUCGCCGAAGUCAGUCUGCCACCCCAUCAAGAUCCAACCGAGAAAAAGAUCCAGCUUUGGUUAAUGCACUGAAGACCUUUAAUCGGCAAAGGGGAUUAAGAAACAUGCUUAUGGAGAAAAAAAUUGACAAGCUCAUCUACUGGAUUUGGUUCUUCAGCUACAUCUAACUCAUCUCAUACAAAUCUUGUAAAAGAAAGUAUGCAAGCUUUGAAUGCUCUCCCAGGAGUAGAUGGAACGACUUAUGCAAAGGUAGUGGAGAAGUUUUGUGUGGACCAUGUUAUGAUGGAAAAGUUCAUGGAUUAAAGGAAAAUGGAUUGGCUUAAAAGCCUUUAGUGAUGAUAUGAGACGUGACAAUUUGUUAGGAUUUGGCUAUGUUUUCAUCAUGAGAUCCUGGACUUCAUGUCUUUGGACUUGUCUUAUGUGUUUUUGGAUGUCAUAUGUUUGGAGCUUCGUAGUCACAUUUUUGUACACUUGCUUUACUUCAUGUGUUUGUGGAACAUCUAUGUGUUGACUUUUUGAAAUUUGAAACUAUUUUAUGAACCUGUCAUAACAUAUAUGGAUAUGCAUUUUGGUUGA